UACAGAGGUCUCAAGCGUUGUUCGGAUUCAUUGGGCGUAAAGGGUGCGUAGGCGGCGCGGUAAGUCGGAUGUGAAAUCUCGGAGCUUAACUCCGAAACUGCAUUCGAUACUGCCGUGCUUGAGGACUGGAGAGGAGACUGGAAUUUACGGUGUAGCGGUGAAAUGCGUAGAUAUCGUAAGGAAGACCAGUGGCGAAGGCGGGUCUCUGGGCCGAUACUGACGCUGAGGAGCGAAAGCGUGGGGAGCGAACAGG
rnacentral:rRNA from 1 species